rnacentral:lncRNA from 1 species
CCGUGAUAAAAAGUUGGAGGAACUGUUCCUUUAGACCACACAUGGACUCGGUGUGCCGCGAUCUAUGAACCAUCAUAUGAGCCAUGCCCUAUUCUGUGGACCACUCGUGGACUGAGUGGCCGGUCCAUCGUGCAUCGAUGGUCAUUUUUAGAUGAUUUUUGGGUGAUUUUUGACUAAUUUUUAUUUUUUUUGACUUGUUCUCUAUUUUCAACAU